rnacentral:rRNA from 1 species
AGUCUGGUGCCAGCAGCCGCGGUAAUUCCAGCUCCAAUAGUGUAUAUUAAAGUUGCUGCAGUUAAAAAGCUCGUAGUUGGAUUUUGAAUUAUAAAAAUUUAACAUUCAUCUUUAGAUGUGAUUUAAUUUUUAUAUUCUUCCUUUUGAUACGCUCCAUUAAAUUUUAUAUUUUUGGAUUUAAGUGUUUCAAAUUGUUUACUGUGAAAAAAUUAGAGUGUUCAAAGCAGGCGUAACCUAGCCUUUGAAUAUAUUAGCAUGGGAUAAUGAAAUAGGACUUUAAUCCUACUUUCGUUGGGUCUAGGGCUAAAGUAAUGAUUAAUAGGGAUAGUUGGGGUCACUAGUAUUUAAUUGUCAGAGGUGAAAUUCUAAGAUUUAUUAAAGACUAACUACUGCGAAAGCAUUUGACAAGGAUGUUUUCAUUAAUCAAGAACGAAAGUUGGGGGAUCGAAGAUGAUCAGAUACCGUCGUAGUCUCAACCAUAAACUAUGCCGACCAAGGAUCCGAGGUUGUUAAUAUGGAUGACUCUUCGGGCACUUAUAGAGAAAUCAUAAGUAUUUGGGCUCCGGGGGGAGUAUGGUCGCAAGGCUGAAACUUAAAGGAAUUGACGGAAGGGCACCACAAGGAGUGGAACCUGCGGUUUAAUUUGACCCAACACGGGAAAACUUACCAGGUCCAGACACAGUGAGGAUUGACAGAUUGAGAGUUCUUUCUUGAUUCUGUGAGUGGUGGUGCAUGGCCGUUUCUAGUUGGUGGAGUGAUUUGUCUGGUUAAUUCCGUUAACGAACGAGACCUUAACCUAUUAAAUAGUUAUUUAAACUUGAUUUUUAAAAUCAAAUGUUUAAAAAACUUCUUAGAGGGACUCUUCACUGAGAGAGUGAAUGGAAGUUUGAGGCAAAAACAGGUCUGUGAUGCCCUUAGAUGUUCUGGGCCACACGCGCGUUACACUGACAUAUUCAACGAGCAUUAUCCUUACCCGUCGGGGUUGGGUAAUCUUUUAAAUGUAUGUCGUGCUGGGGAUAGAUCAUUGUAAUUAUUGGUCUUGAACGAGGAAUUCCUAGUAAGUGCGAGUCAUCAACUCGCGCUGAUUACGUCCCUGCCCUUUGUACACACCGCCCGUCGCUCCUACCGAUUGAAUGGUCCGGCGAGAACUCAGGAUGGAUAUGGAUUUUGGACACCGUUAGGUGCUCCAACCAUAUCCAGAAUUUGUUCAAACCUUACCAUUUAGAGGAAGGAGAAGUCGUAACAAGGUUUCCGUAGGUGAACCUGCGGAAG